AGUUAUGAAAGCUGGAGCUCCAUCUUGGAUCAUGAGGACAAGACUACUCCUUAGGGAAGGCGGAGCAGAGAGCUAGAUGUAGUCAGGAUCAGAUGUCCCUGGACCCACCAUUCCAUCCCUACAAAAGUCACCAUUCCAGUCUGCCAUUUACUAGCUGUUUGGUUUGGGGAAAAUCAUAUCACUCUCUAAGCCUCAGUGUCUUUAUUACAUAACAGUAGCCACUUCAUUGCCGUGUUGUGAAGAUUUAUAAACAAGAGUGUGCAAAUGACUGACAAUAUCUGGUAAGCAUCCUCAAUAAGUGUUCAUUUCCUCCCUUUGUUUUGCAUCAUUUUCUCAAACUUAACAUGUUUUAAAGUUACAUUUAAGUUUUCGGACUUAUGAGAACCUGCUGUUGAAGAAAACUGUCAUUAGAAGAUUCAGUAAAUUCAGAAUCUCCAUAAUUACAUGUUACAUAGUUACAAGCUGCUUUGAUGUGACACUAGUCUGAAGCUAGGAGACGAAAAAAAAAUUUCCCCUCAGGGGAGCAUGACCCAGGAUUUCAUGUUCAUCUAGAAGUUCUAGGAAGUGGGGUCAAGAGGGUCCACAACAGCACAACAGUGAGAGGUGGUGGAGGGGGCAGGCGUGGGGCUGUUUCCUUCAGCACCUGGGACAGCGGCUGCUCCAGGACUGGCCCCCCUCAGGCUGUCAGGUGUCCUGGGAUAGGGUCGGUCUCAGACCCUUUCAGGGGCUAGAAGAUUCACUGGUUGCAAAAUAAGAAAGAAAUAUUGUAAAAAAUGAUAUAAGUAAGUAUUUAACACACUCUAAGCUGAAAGUUGCAUAUAUUUUUCUUUUUCUUGUGUUCUUUAAAACGUUUUUCUUUUCCCACAAAUGAUACCCUGUCAUAGAAGAAACUAUAGAUAAGAAAAAGUAACAAAUAAAAAUCGUAUCCAUAAUCUAAACAUGUCAAAGUAAUCCCCACUCAUAUUCUCUCACAUAUUCUGCUAAAUUUAAAAUUCUAUGUAAUCCUUGGUGUUGUCGCUGUUCGGUUGCCCAGCUGUGUCCAGCUCUUUGUGACCACAUGGGCCGCAGCACAUGUAAUCCUUAUAGCAGUAAAAAUUUGACCUUGUAUCUAAAUGUAUUACAUUUACAUGUAAUCUCCUUCUUUUUUAAACUUCUUCUUCUUAAUAAUGCCAUUUUACUGACUAAGAGGGCUUCUUCAGUGGCUCAGCAGUAAAGAAUCCACCUGCCAAUGCAGGAGACACAGGUGUGAUCCCUGGAGGAGGGCGUGGCAACCCACUCUAGUAUUCUUGCCUGAAAAAUCCCACGGACGGAGGAGCCUGACAGAUUAAGUCCCUGGGGGUCUCAAAAAGUCAGAUGUGACUGAAGCAACUGAACAUGGCCCAGCACUAAGAAGCACAUGGAAAUGUACCCAACAUCAUUAAUUGUUAGGGAAAUGCAAAUCAAUGCAACAAUGUGAUAUCAGGCCGCACUCACUAGGAUGACAAGACUGAAAAACAAUGGAAAAUAACAAGUGUUGGUGAGGAUGUGGUCAUUGGAAUCCUCAUACAUUGAUGUUGAGAAUGCAAAAUAGUGUGGUGACUGUGGAAAAUUAUCUGGUGUUUUUCCUCAAUAAAUUAAACCUCUUGUCCAACUCUUUGUGACCCCAUGGACUGUAUCUCACCAGGGUCAUCUGUCCAUGGAAUUCUCCAGGCAAGUAUACUGGAGUGGGUUGCAAUUUCCUUCUCCAGGAGAUCUUUCUGACCCAGGGAUUGAACUCAGAUCUCCUGCAUCGCAGGCAUACUCUUUACUGACUAAGCUACAGAGAAGACCUCAAAUUAAACCUAGAAUUACCAAUUGACCCUGCCAUCCUACACCUAGGAAUGUACCCCCAAAGAAUUGAAAACAGGUGUUUAAACAAAAUGUUGUACACAACUCUUCACAGUGGCACCAUCCACAGUUGCUGAAAGUUCAACUUUGGGAAGCAAUUCAAAUUUCCAUUAACAGAAAAAUGAAUAAAUAAAAUGAGAUAUAUCCAUAACAAGAAAUAUUAUUGGGUCAUAAAAAGAAAUGAAGCAAAGAUUUCCUUGGCAGCCUAGUGGUUAAGACUCCGUGCUUCCAAUGCAGGGGAUGUGAGAUUGAUCCCUGGUUGGGAAACUAAGCCAUGUGCCAUGGCCAAAAAAAUUGUUUUAAAAAAAGGAAUGAAAACUACAAUGCGAAUGAUCUUUGAAAACAGGCUAAGUGAAAGGAGUCAGACACAAAAGGUCACAUAUUGUGUGAUUCCUUUUAUAUGAAAUGCACAGAAUAGGUUAAUCCAUAGAGAUAGAUCUAGGAGCUGGAGGAGGAAGCAGAGAGUGUCUGCUAAUGGGUACAGGUCUCAUUUUCAGAUGACAAAAAUACCUUGGAACUAGAUAGAGGAGAGCUGGUGGUUGCACAACACGGUGAAUGUACUAGAGGCAUGGAUUUGAACACUUCUAAUGUUAUGAAUUUUGUGAAUGUAUGAAUUUUAUGUAAGUUUACCUCAACCAAAAAUGUUAUUUUAUCUUCCAUUUUUCUUGUAAUCUGGAUUUUUCAUAUACUAAUAUAUCAUGAACAUCUUUCCACAAUAGACAGUCAUCAUCUUGGCGGUCUUUAAAAUCUUUAAAUGUUAAAUAGUCAAGCCACUCUUUAUUUUUGAUCUCUUUAUGAAUUCUCUUUAUGCACUUUGAUGGCUUGACAUAUCACUACCAGCUGUAAAUUGAGUUACUCUUAAUCACAUAGCUUUUGGUAUAGCAAUUUUAUUUAUAUAGUAAUAUUUGCACAUAUAUUCAUGUAAGAUGUGGAUGUGUUUAAGCACUUUUCAUACAGCAUGUAAGGCUUGGUGACUCCACAGACAUUGAUGUUUUUGGUCCUAUUAAAGAAGUAGACCACUGGAAGGCAGAAGGCAGUGACACUUCAACUCCCCCAGGUAAACAAUUUCAACUCACAUCAGUCUUAUGGAUUGGAGAGACUGAAUCACUAGCUCAAGGUCAUUCAGUUGAUGAGUGACUUUGUAAGUGAGGGGUCAGUUCAGUCAGCUUGGCUUCAAAUGUCAUGCCUCACCUCCCAAGGAAGUAAUUUUCAAGGUGUGUCUCAGCUCCACAUGCAUCAGGUCACCUGGAGAACACCUGUAGGCCUAUCAGAUGAGAUUCUGCUGGGUGGUGCCUAACGUUUUUAAUGCAAUAUUAUUGACAGGGAAUUCAUUCACUCGUGUAGAAAAUAAGAUGCUCAGUGAAAUACAUUGGUCUUCCAUAUGGUGUUCAUUUUCCCUGUUUUUUCAUCUGUACUUUUUGUAUAGUACCUUUUUCACAGUGUCGUGCAUGCAUGCUCAGUCGCUUUAGUCAUGUCCGAUUCUUUCCAACCCCCAGGAAUGUAGCCACCAGGCUCCUCUGUCCCUGGGAUUUUCCGGGCAAGAAUGGGUUGCCAUUUCCUCCUCCAGGGCAUCUUCCCAACCCAGGGGUUGAACCCAAGUCUCCUGCAUUGGCAAGCAGAUUCUUUACUCACUGAGCCACCUGGAAAGCCCAUCAUUUCACAGUAUAUUUAUGCAAAUAAUAUAUAUGCUUAGUUACCCUCAGCUUCUCUUAAAAUUGUAUGUAAAUUUACAAAAUUUAUAAAAAGUAAAGUUUGCUCUAUUUGGUAUACAGUUUUGAGUUCUGAAGUGUCUAGAGUCCUAUAACCACCACUAAUAACAGUUAAAAAUCUUUUCACCCAAACUCCUGCCAAAUAUGUAGGACAAUCUGGGAGCCAUGUCCAGUCAUGUUGGGACAUAUUGUGUCAUGUUGGGGUGUGUCUAAGCUCACAAGGUGGUAUCUGUGGGCUCUGCCUUUGCUUUAUUCUGUCCUGCAGCCUGGUCUGGGAGGACCAGGUCUGGUCCUCCCUCCUCCCAUUACCCCUCCUUUUAGCUUCCGGUGCUCUUAACCCCAUUCCUGCCAUGCUGGGCUUGGAGGGGAAAUGCAGGUUCCUGGCUGGGAGCCUCCAAUCUGCACCAAAAUUCCCUUCCCGCCCGCCCCGCUCCCCGGCCCUUGAUGGUCUUCAUGUCAGCUGCCAUCGCACCAAAGGACAUGCUUUUCUACAAUACUCUGAAGCCCUGGCUGGAUGAGUAAUUGUGAGUGAAGAGGGUUGGGGAUGAGCCAGUGCACCCAGGGAAAGGUCUUCCUUUGCCCACUCCCCGUGGCUGUCUCUGCUAGGGGAUGGGCUCCUGCUGAGUGCUGGUGACAAGUGGAGCAGGCACCAUCACAUGCUGACACCCACCUUCCACUUCAACAUCCUGAAGCCCUAUAUGAAGAUUUUCACCAAGAGCACAGAGAUCAUGCACGCUUGCUCACAUGGCAGAAGCAAGGUUCCAACAGACUGAAAGUAAGCUGCAAUUCUCCUUGGGGUCUAGGUUUGGGAUGACUACUUCAUCAUUUUCACCAGUCUAUUGGCCAAACCAGCUCCGAAUCCAAGGAUUGUGAAAGAGGCCCCACCUCCUAAGAGAAGCUACUGAAAAAUUGCACUGCAAAGGGUUUGGGUAUAUAUGUGGGAAUGAAGAACUGGAGGUCAGGCUUUUGUGAAGUGCCUGGGAUUUUUUACCAUACCUGCAAGCUGACAAGAGAGCUUGUUACUGUUUCAUGGAUUCUGUCAGGAGACAUGAAACUCCUGGGUGAGAGACAGAGGACAAUUUAUUACCCUCAGAAGGCGACAACAUGUGUUUCUCAUUGGUUUGCAUUCAUCUUCCAAGUCACUAUAUCUCAUGCAGGUUACACAGGUGGGCUUUGAUAUAUGCCUACUCAAGUAGUAUGCUGAUGUAUAUGCCUGCUCUGUUGUAUUAUGGUGGGGGGCGGGGGGAGUUAAGAGAAAUUGUGACUUUCAUAUCAAUUAAAAGCAAUUCCCCCUAAUACUGUCCAGGAGGAGACAUUACUUCACUCCUCAAGGUUGUUUGCUAAAAACACAACUCUGAAAUGGUCCAGGUAAAGAAUAUCAGAGUCUUGCUUUUUUUCUUUUUCUUUUUUUUUUUGGCAUACGAAGCAAGAAAGUACAAAUUGUACACAGGACCCACGGAGGACUACCUCUCUCAACGUAGGGGACCUUUCCCUCACCAAUUUCUAACAAUGAAGAUGAUGAGGUCUGACAUUUGCUGUGCAGUUACUUUACGCAGUAAGCUGACCAACAGUGCACAAAAUGUAGUAGGAGGAACCAAAGUUAUAUUAAUAGCAGGUCUCCUGAUUCCCAGGCUGGGGACUUCAUGCCUUAAUGUAACAACUUCCACUCCCACUCAAGGCUGGUCAUCUGUGAAGAUCGGAGCCUAGGACCAGCAGGCAGGGUCUGGAGAGUGCGUCUGGUGUCUGGGGUUAGGGAGGAGGCAGUUUCCAACCUCAGCCGUGUCCCCUUCUCUGUCCAGCCCAAGUGACAGCACCUGAUUAAAAAGGGCCACACCCAUCUGGACAUGUUUGAACACACCAGCCUCAUGACCCUGGACAGUCUGCAGAAAGGCGUCUUCAGUUUCGACAGCAAUUGCCAGGAGGGAGUGCUCGGCCCAGGGCCUGGGAAUAUGAGCCCUGGACCCAAAGGAGUAAAUGAAUGAGAAUGAGGUGGACAAUCAGAAAAGCCCUCCUGGAGGAGAUGGGUCAAACUGGACAUUGAAAGACAGGAAAAGGGAAAGAGAAACAGCAAACCUUACAGGUAGGUAGAAGUGUUUAAUAAAUGCUAGGAGGUUAGAAUGAGCAAAGUAAGUGCAACAGUAAGGAGACAAAUUGGGUAUGAGGUGGAAGGAAUGUCUUAAGGACAUUCUGAAGUAGACAGAGGAUAUGAACUAUAUCUGAGGUUUCCUAGGAGCCGUAGAAGGUGUAUGAGCAGAUGAGGAUCGAGGUCAAACCUGAACUUGGACAUCUGACCGGAGAGAAGACUGACCACAAUACAGACACUGGAUGAUGUUGACAACUGGAGGAAGCCCAGUGAAUACAUUGCCACCUUCUUGGAGCUCAGUGCACUUGUGGCUAAACUGCACUGGCGGAUCUUCCUGCACAUGGACUUCCCGGGCUUCCUCACCCCAGAUGGGCAGCGCUUCCUCAGGACUUGCCCUUGUGCAUGGCUGCACAGAUGCAGUCACCCAGGAGCAGCACCAGCCCCUCCUCAGGGACAGUAUUGAUGACUUCCUCAAGGUCAAGGUGAAGACCAAGACUUUGGACUUCAUUGAUGUGCUCCUGCUGACCAAGGUGCUGUCCACCCUCUGGUGCUGAAGUAGCCCAGCGACCCAAGCGUGUCUGGCUACCCCUCAGGCCUUGACACCAUAGCCAGUGGCCUCUCCUGAAUCCUGUACAACCUUGCAAAGUGCCCAGAACAUCAGGAGCAUUGCUGGCAGGAGGUACAAGAGUUCCUGAAGGACCGUGAGCCUAAAGAGACUGAAUGGUGAAUGCAAGUCCUCAUGGCACUUUUCUGAGUCCCUCUCACUGGCUCUGUUCCCUGGCUGGGAAAGAGAAAAAUCUUUUUGUGGAUUCUGUUAUUAUUUCUUAGUGGGAAGACCCAGAGACAAGGUCUGGUGCACAGCAGGUAUAGUAGGGGGAAGUUUGCAGGCUUUUGAGACAGAAAGACUUGGAUUUCUGAGAUAAUCAGUGACAAUGUGUGAGGGUAGAUGAUACCACUUAGCACAUAUUCAGUAAGUGAAAUUUCCCUCUACUCUCUAACUUUUCUCUCUGAAAUUACAUAUUUUCCAACAUCUUCACUCCUUGAGUGUUUCCUCAUAUCCUGCUCCUUAAUUCCUAGUAUUAAUUAGUCCAGGAUUCACAUGGAGCUCUUAGGAACUAAAGUCAUUCAACACCUGUCCAGGUAUACCUGCAUCUUCCUCCAUCCAGUCCCCAUUCAACAAACACUGGAACACUUCUUCCCUCUUCUCAGUUCUAUGACAUCUCCAAUUCUUCUCAGCCAUUCUGUGUUGCAGAGACUCAGAAAGAACCUAGACCCGGCCUUUGCCUUCCUAGUCUCAUGGAGGAAUAGUCAAGAAACUCCCUGUAUACAUGGGCAGAGCUACAGUUUAGAGUAAGAUAGACAAAGUAGAAGGUGGAAAAAAGUGCCUCAUCUCAGACCCUGAAAGUUGAUCAGUAGAGAGGUGGGUGCAUUUGAGGUAAGGUCAACAAGGUAGCUGGUCAAAAAUGAAGAGAUGGAGGCAGAGGGGCAGAGAGAGGGAGAGAGAAAGGAGGAAAGGAGGGGGUUGAUAUAUGAUUGACCUGUGGAGCAUAGAUUACAUCAUAAUAUUAACACACUGUCCCAGAGUGUGGAGCAGAUAUCCAAUUCUGGAUAUUAAAAUAAUACUUGGUCUUUUAGUAGAGUCUACAAUUCCAGCAUAGAGAUCUUGAGCAGCUUUUGCUAAAUAAACCCUUAGGUACUCUUGUUGCUAUGGUGAAUAUAGUCUAUCUGGAUUGAGAAACAUUUACAAGUUCAUUUUGAAUACAGAUAUUCACAUUUCCUGUUAAAUUUGAUCCACAUAUUUUAUAUCAUCAUCUUUUCUAGUUUUUCUAAUAGAAAAAUUAAUAAUUUAUGGAUAUCAAUUUCUUGCUCAGUGAACUUAGUAACUGCUAAAUAUGGAGUCCCAUAUCAGUAGGAAAAAUAAAUAUCAUCUUAAUAAUAAAAACUUUUGAAAAAACAGGGAAACUACAUGGAAAAAAUAGCUAAUUCAACCUGAUUCUCAUGUCUGGCAAGAAAAUAACAUCUACAUGAAUCAAAGAUUUAAAACAUAUAAGGGAGUCUUAAAGGCUCUAGAGGAAACUAUGGGAAGUUAUAUUACAGCUCCACAGUAAGAAGGCUGUAUCAUGACAUAAGUCCCAGAGGGUGUACGAUAAGACACUGAUAUGCUAUUACAUGACAUAGAUACAGAGCAGUAGGUAUAGUACAGAGUAUGCUAUUAUAUAAUUUUUAAUGAAACAAAACCUUUAAUGUGUACAAUGGAGCAUUACUCAGCCAUUAAAAAGAGUGAAAAAUGCCAUUUGCAGCCACAUGGAUGGACCUAGAAAUUGUCAUACUGAGUGAAGUAAGUCAAACAGAAGGAGAAAUAUAUGACAUCCUUUAUAUGUGGAUCUAAAAAGAAAUUAUACAAGUGAAUUUAAUUACAAAACAAAAACAGACCCACAGACUUAAAGGAUGACCUUAUGGUUGCCAGGGGGAAGGACAGGGGAAAGGACAGUUAGGGAGCUUGAGAUGGGCAGGUAUACACCACCAUGUUUAAGAUGGAUAAUACACAAGGACCUACUGUGUCACACAUGGAACCCGCCUCAAUACUACGUGGCAGCCUGGAUGGGAGGGGAAUUUGGGGGAGAACUGGUGCAUGAAUAUGUGUGGCUGAGUCCCUUUGCUGUCCACCUGAAACCAUCACAACAUUGUUCACAGCUGUGAGCAACACAAAAUAAAUACAAAAUUAAAAGUUUUUUUUUUAAAAAUGCCUCUAGGACGAUACAUAAAAAUAACCACUAGGCAAACUGUGAGGAGAAAUGAGUGCUGUUGGGCCAUAGGGGUGAUGGUUGCAUUGUUCCAACUUUGAACUAUGUUAACUGUAUCAUCUAUUAAGAAUUUAAAUCAAAAAAAAAAAAACUUAAAUCACCACACAAAAAGAAAGAAAUUUUUUAAAAAAAGAAUUCAGCCCCAUUACUGGAUCUUACCUUCAAUGUUUAUGAAAGUUUUCCAGUGAUUUCUCUUCUUUUCUAAGUAUAACAUCACUAUGUGCAAAAAAUGAUACAUUUUCCCCCAUGUUUCAAAUGGCAUUACUCUUUUUCCCCCUGUCUAAUUGCAUUAGCUAGUAUCUCUAGUGCCGUAACAAAUAAGAGUAAAUAUUGAAUUUGCUUUUUUUGUCUCUUAUGCAUUGCCUUUUGAUUUUGCAGACUUUCCACAAAGAAUGUUUUGAUUUUAUACAAUAUUGUAAAUAUUUUUAUUGUUGGCUUUUUGUAGUUUUUCUCAGAAAGUCUUCUAAAAAUAUGUGAGUAAAUUUUGUCUGGUACUUC